UCGCACCUACCGAUUGAAUGGUUCGGUGAAACUUUCGGACCGUGAUUUGAAUGCCUUCGGGCAAUCAGGUUGUGGGAAGUUAUUUAAACCUCAUCAUUUAGAGGAAGGUGAAGUCGUAACAAGGUUUCCGUAGGUGAACCUGCAGAAGGAUCA
rnacentral:rRNA from 1 species